CCUCCUUCAUGUGCUCCUUCCGUGCGUUCUUCCCUUCGCCGUCGGUGUUGCCUGUGGGCUCUGAAGCGAGUCCGUGCUGCUGGUGAACCUGCCUCUCUACGUCCGGCCCCUGUGCAAGUCCGUGUUGCUGGUGAACCUGCUUCGGCCGUCGCUUGCUGCCUGGCUCUGCUAUCUGCGACGGGUGCCGUGGCUGUGGAGCGCAUUGUUGUGGGUGACCUCUGACUGCAGUUCAUCAGG